rnacentral:rRNA from 1 species
GUUAAUGCAUGGCACGGGGCGGGGUGAAUAGGGAGGGGGAAAGUGUUGGCGGGAUGUAUUGGGCGUAAAGGGUGUGUAGGGGGGCAUACAGGGCAGCUGGGAAAACUCGAGGCUCAACCUAGAGACGUCGGUUGAAACCGUAUGGCUAGAGGCCGGAAGAGGAGAGUGGAAUUCCCGGUGUAGCGGUGAAAUGCGCAGAUAUCGGGAAGAACACCCGUGGCGAAGGCGGCUCUCUGGGACGGUACUGACGCUGAGACGCGAAAGCGUGGGGAGCGAACAGGAUUAGAUACCCGGGUAGUC